CUGGGACCUAUACAUUAGGGAACACAGCGCCUAAAUGUUUUGCAAUAGAAAAGUUCAGAUGGUACCAGAGUGCAAUAGUUAGUUGUGUUUUUCCUCAUACUGCCCACAGCCCUGUGCUUUGUAGUAUGAUAUACAUGUUGUUCAGUGUAUAGAGCAUCCAACUAACUAGUGUCUGUGUAGUUUAGACGAGUUUAACUCUCUCGCUGUCUCUCUCUCUCUCUCGCUGUCUCUCUCUCUCUCGCUGUCUCUCUCGCUCUCUCUCUCUCGCUGUCUCGCUCGCUCUCUCUCUCUCUCUCUCUCUCUCUCUCUCUCUCUCGUUGUUCCUCUCGCUCUCUAUCUCUCUCUCUCUCUCUCUCGCUCUCUCUCUCUCUCUCGCUGUCUCUCUCUCUCUCUCUCAUUGUUCCUCUCCCUCUUUCUCUCGCUGUCUCUCUCUCUCUCUCUCGCUGUCUCUCUCUCUCUCUCUCUCUCUCUCUCUCUCUCUCUCUCUCUCGUUGUUCCUCUCGCUCUCUCUCUCUCUCUCUCUCUCUCUCUCGUUGUUCCUCUCGCUCUUUCUCUCGCAGUCUCUCUCGCUCUCUCUCUCGCUCUUGCUGUCUCUCUCACUCUCUCUCUCGCUGUCUCUCUCGCUCUCUUUCUCUCUCUCUCUCGUUGUUCCUCUCACUCUCUCUCUCGCAGUCUCUCUCGCUCUUGCUGUCUCUCCCUCUCUCGUUGUUCCUCUCUUGUAGCUGCGGGAGCUGUUCUACAAGCUGUGUUUUCCCAGGCGUUUCUUUAGAUAACAGCAAAAACAUCAUUUGUACAGAAGUCGCUAGCUAGUUAUGCUAAUGUUAGCUAGCUAGCUAACCAAAAUAAUGUUUACAAUGCCAUGGCUGAAUGCCUCUUGAUAGAACUCUAACUUCCCACAAUGAUUUUAAUCAGAACAGGACAUCCAUUACAUUUAGCCACCGUUUUUUGUUGUAGUUCUCAGAUUAAAAUAUUUAAGCAAAUGAUCCCAAUUCUAGUUGUAGCAGCUUGUGACCAGUUCAUGUUGAAGUAGCUUAGGCUAGCUCUAAUAGCUGAUAGCUGAACUCAGACCUGGCUGACCUGUUGUUAUUGUCUUAUGUGGAAUUCAUAACAUUGUUUGAUAGAUUUAAAUGCUCUUUGUUCUUUGUAUCCAUAGAGACAUUUUUUUUUUUUUUUACUGUAGUCAACCCUCCAAUCAGAAAUAGGGGGAACACUCAAUUGUUGGUCCCCAAAAAGUCCUCGCAAGUAUAGUAAGUAAUGUGUGUGUGUGUGUGUGUGUGUGUGUGUGUGUGUAACUUCAACAACAUUGAUAAGAGGGUGUAGACCUAUUUAAACUUUGGAAGCAUUUCAUUUUUGAUACAGAUUAUUUUGUGUUUCCGUCCUUGUUUCUCAUUUUAUUCAACUGUUACCAUGCACCUGCAAAAAAUAUAUAGCUCAGAUGUGCAAGUGCCUUUUUGAAUUUUGUGUUUCAGUCACUUACGGUCAAAGUAUGCCUGUAACACAAUGCACUGCUUUUUAAAUUGAAAAAAAUCUUUCUUAAGAGACAAAUUUGAGCAACAUUUUUUUUUAAAAAUUAAAAAGAAAGAGGCUUCAAUAUUUGCAGCCGUAGGUGAUAUCUCUCUAGAAGUUGAUCGUCUUCGGUUAAGGUAAGAUUAUAAUAGAGAAAGCUGCUCCGAGAGCAGCGCUGCUUUUCUUUCCAUCCUGUCAGUUACCUUUAGCGUCUAUUGAUGAAGGUAUCAUCUUCACGGUGACUUUUGUUACGAGCCCAGACGCUCGGUUUUUUUUUCUACAUACUUUCGUAUCGGCGAGAAAUUACUACAAACCUUAUUAGGAUUAGUGUUCCCUCACGGCCAUAUCUCCAUGUUACAACGGGUGUAUGGAAGACAGACGGAAGACCGAGGCUUCUACCUGUGCUAAUUAGCUAUCUAGCAUGCUCCGAACACCUGUGCUAAUUAGCUAUCUAGCAUGCUCCGAACACCUGUGCUAAUUAGCUAUCUAGCAUGCUCCGAACACCUGUGCUAAUUAGCUAUUUAGCAUGCUCCGAACACCUGUGCUAAUUAGCUUUCUAGCAUGCUCCGAACACCUGUGCUAAUUAACUAUCUAGCAUGCUCCGAAGAACCUGUGCUAAUUAACUAUCUAGCAUGCUCCGAACACCUGUGCUAAUUAGCUAUCUAGCAUGCUCCGAACACCUGUGCUAAUUAGCUAUCUAGCAUGCUCCGAACACCUGUGCUAAUUAGCUAUCUAGCAUGCUCCGAACACCUGUGCUAAUUAGCUAUCUAGCAUGCUCUGAACACCUGUGCUAAUUAGUUAUCUAGCAUGCUCCGAACACCUGUGCUAAUUAGUUAUCUAGCAUGCUCUGAACACCUGUGCUAAUUAGUUAUCUAGCAUGCUAUGAACACCUGUGCUAAUUAACUAUCUAGCAUGCUCUGAACACCUGUGCUAAUUAACUAUCUAGCAUGCUCCGAACACCUGUGCUAAUUAGCUAUCUAGCAUACUAUGAACACCUGUGUGUAGUAACCAAGGCCACGAGAAAUGUGUUGUCACUGAAAAAUACUGUCGGCAGCAACUGUGAAAGCUGGUUAAAACAGUUAAGUGUAUAUUUUGUAUUUGUGAAAUUAUUUUGAUGUGAUAUGAAAGUAAAGGACUUUGUUUCUAGAACUGUAUCGCAAUUGAGAAUCGAUUCACAUUUAGUCUCCAUGGCUGCCAGAGCCAGUCUCCAUGGCUGCCAGAGCCCGUCUCCAUGGCUGCCAGAACCCGUCUCCAUGGCUGCCAGAGCCCGUCUCCAUGGCUGCCAGGGAACGAUGCAUUGUUAAAACACUCGUCAGCCUAAGUUCCAGCAAUAUCGUGAAACUGGACCCUGGUUAUCUUCUAUCCUGUCCUCUCCAUACAGGCACCAACUAACCUGUCCAUACAGGCACCAACACAACUCUGCUCUAUCCACUGUGAGAAGAGAUUACAUCUACAGAGUGCAGACUGCUUCUCCUUUAGAGAAACAUACAAGUCUUUUAGACAUUUGGAGGAUGGAUUGUUUACUUUAGAUCAGUGUUUCCCAACUCCAGUCCUCCAGUACCCCCAACAGCCCAACUCCAGUCCUCCAGUACCCCCAAAAGCCCAACUCCAGUCCUCCAGUACCCCCAAAAGCCCAACUCCAGUCCUCCAGUACACCCAACAGCCCAACUCCAGUCCUUCAGUACACCCAACAGCCCAACUCCAGUCCUCCAGUACACCCAACAGCCCAACUCCAGUCCUCCAGUACCCCCCAACAGUGUUUCUCAACUCCAGUCCUCCAGUACCCCAACAGCCCAACUCCAGGCUGGAGUGCAGACUGGUACCCAGGCUGGAGUGCAGACUGGUACCCUGGCUGGAGUGCAGACUGGUACCCAGGCUAGAGUGCAAACUGGUACCCAGGCUGGAGUGCAGACUGGUACCCUGGCUGGAGUGCAGACUGGUACCCAGGCUAGAGUGCAAACUGGUACCCAGGCUGGAGUGCAGACUGGUACCCAGGCUGGAGUGCAGACUGGUACCCUGGCUGGAGUGCAGACUGGUACUCAGGCUGGAGUGCAGACUGGUACCCAGGCUGGAGUGCAGACUGGUACCCAGGCUGGAGUGCAGACUGGUACCCAGGCUGGAGUAAAACAAUACACACAUCUAUCUUGCUCUGUGUGUCCCAACAUGCUGCAUGACAGUAAAUCCUGUUCAGUUGAACAUUUCUACCAACGGUCAUUAUUUUAUAUGCAUUUAUUUCUAUUACUUUGACAGACUGUGUGCACACACGUGACACACACACACACGUGACACACACACACACGUGACACACACACACGUGACACACACACACACGUGACACACACACACACACGUGACACACACACACACACGUGACACACACACACACGUGACACACACACACGUGACACACACACACACACAUGACACGCACACACACAUGUGACACGCACUCACACAUGUGACAUACACACACACACGUGACACACACACACGUGACACACACACACACACACAUGACACGCACACACACAUGUGACACGCACUCACACAUGUGACAUACACACACACACGUGACAUACACACACGACACACACAGACACACUUGACAUACACACACACACACACACGACAUACACACACACACACACUUGACAUACACACACACACAUCACACACACACGUUACACACACAAAUAUGUGCACAAACUCCUGAUGACAGUUUGAUUUAUGAUUAUGACAGAAUGGAGUGUGAGGAAGUUGUGUGAAACUGCAAAGUUUUAUUUUUCUUGUUUUGUCUCUAAAUCAUUUGCCAAAAAGAAGCCUGGCCCUGAAAGUGGCCAUGGUUUCACACGUGACAUGACAUGUGAAAUCUUUUUGUUGCUGCCAAGAAGAUUACAGAGAAACAUAGCUGUAGUUAAGGGGGAAGACAUGCAGUUUCUAGAUACACUAUUUACUAUGGCCUCAUUGUCAUUCCUAUUUGUAGGUUUUGGAAGUUGCAAAAAUAAGACCCUGCGAGCAGAAAAUAACGGACGCUAUGAUGUUCUUUAUGAAUUGACAGUGAUACACUACCAUCUACGGCAAUAUCACAUUAUUGUAUUUGUUAAGACCCUUAGCGGCCAUGGUUACCAAUACCUUGGGAAUUAAAAUAAAAAAUAAUACAAUCAUUCUGUUUAUUAAGCUAUUAAAUUUUUUU
rnacentral:lncRNA from 1 species